GUGGGGAAUAUUGGACAAUGGGCGCAAGCCUGAUCCAGCCAUGCCGCGUGAGUGAUGAAGGCCUUAGGGUUGUAAAGCUCUUUCACCGAUGAAGAUAAUGACGGUAGUCGGAGAAGAAGCCCCGGCUAACUUCGUGCCAGCAGCCGCGGUAAUACGAAGGGGGCUAGCGUUGUUCGGAUUUACUGGGCGUAAAGCGCACGUAGGCGGUUUGUUAAGUCAGAGGUGAAAUCCCGGAGCUCAACUCCGGAACUGCCUUUGAUACUGGCAAGCUAGAGUCCGGAAGAGGUAAGUGGAACUCCUAGUGUAGAGGUGGAAUUCGUAGAUAUUAGGAAGAACACCAGUGGCGAAGGCGGCUUACUAUUUCGUAAUUGACGCUGAGGCACGAAAGCGUGGGUAGCGAACAGGAUUAGAAACCCGGGUAGUCC
rnacentral:rRNA from 1 species